GCAUUUCAUGUGUGUCCAGAUGUAUUGUAAAGGUGUCUAUUGUUGCUGUAGAUGUGGGUCAUGCUGUUUCAAACUCCAGUAAAACCAAAGGUCAGCUUGCGUCUUUACAGCAUUACUCCUCACGAGUAAAAAAUUACGACAGUCUCGUCAUUAACAUUCAUGUUGUGACCGUUACAACGUCCCAGGGGUUAAAUUCUGAGCAGGUCCAUUCUCUCUAGAUAUAUUGCUUGGCAUUUACAGCCUCGUCAUAGCAACUUUCUCACAAAAGACUCCACAGAAACUCUUUAAGACGAGCUAAUUUUAUGUCUCAUUGGUCUGUGUUCAUCACUUCAGUACUUCUGUGAUUUAAAAACUAAAAUAUUAAUGAUGUUUCUUCUUCUUGUCAUGAUCAUACACAACUCCUUGACAUUUUAAGUGUAAUUGGUUUAUAUGACUAAAUGUCACUGAACUCUCCAGAAAACAUACUGUUCUUUGAUAAGAAUGGAUAUAUGGUUUAAAAAUUAAUUUUGGAGUCGGGUGAAUUCAGGUCAGUUAGGUCACUAACAUUUGACAGCCAACUCAAGCAGUGCACAAAUAUCAGAGUCAGAAAUUAUUAACACACUUGGAAUAAAAAUGUCACCAAAAAUGCUUCCAAAACCAAGAUAUGGUGCAAAAAGGUCACCGUGAAUGAUACCGAAUGAAUUCAGCGUUUUUGAACAAAUCAUUCUAAUGAAUGACUCCACGACUCGCUCACUUCUGCUUUGUUCCUGAAUGAAUCAGCCGUUUAGAACGAAUCAGUUGAUUGAAUGAUUCAAUGACUAACUCAUUAAGACAAUGAUUUGCCGCCACCUACUGGUGCUUUUAGUUGAGUGAAACAGAUUAUAUCUGGAUUUACUUUAAAAGAGCCCCGUCCCCGCCAUCACACAGCGCACAAACACCAGAGAGAAAUUAUUAACACACUUGGGGCAAAAAUGCCACCAAAAUGAAUAAAAAUGUUUCCAAAAACCAGGAUAUGGUGCAAAAAAAGUCUCAGUAUAAGUUCUUGUUUUUAAUAUUUAUAAGCAAUAUCACAUGAGAAAAAGUGCUGUUUUCCCGAAUAUCAGCACAUUUGCAAAUGUGUAAUUUUAUUAUACAACAAUUCAUUAAACAAUAAGUUAAUAGGCUAUAGGUGACUUACAUUUUAGACACAAUAUUGUCUGUUUUUCCUCUAUUUUACCAAUGAAAAUAUUUCCAAACAGUAGAGCAGAGCAACACAGUUUCAGUUUCGUUACUGAAUGAAUCUGCGUUUUUGAACGAAUCUUUCUAAUAAAUGACUUGAUGACUCACUCACUUCUGAUUUGUCCUUGAAUGAAUCAGCCGUAUUGAACAAAUCGGUUGAUUGAAUGAUUCAAUGGCUAACUUGUUAAGACAAUGAUUUGCUGCCACCUACUGGUGGUUUUAGUUGAGUGAAACAGAUUAUACCGGGAUUUACAUUUUUUGCUAUGUUUCACCCAUUUCACUUGAAUGGCCCUCGCAACAAAAGGGGCCUCUGCUUACACUCAAAAAAGAGCCCCAUCCCCGCCAUCACGCUGCAUUCACACGGGCGUCAGCGUCAACGCUUGACAGAGGGUGUGUCUGAAGUUUGUGCUGACGCGACCGUCAGUGACAUCAGCCAAUCACAUUACUUUCCGGUGUUGCAUGAACACAAUUGGCUAGCGCCUGUGAUCUGAUUGGCUGACGCCUGCGUUGGUGCUUGAAAAGUUUAGAAAUUUUAACUUCUGCCACAAGCAACGCGAGUGAAGCGACACGAUGGAACCCGCAAUUCAGUUCGGCAACGCAUGAUGUCAACCUUUCAAAGUAAAUGAGAAGCGUUAACAAAAACACCAGAGUUGGAAAUUUUUAACACACUUGGGGCAAAAAUGCCACCAAAAUGAUUAAAAAUGCUUCCAAAACCAAGAUAUAGUGCAAAAAAGUCUCAGUAUAAGUUCGUUUUUAAUAUUUAUAAGCAAUAUCACACAAGCAAAAGUGCUGUUUUCCCGAAUAUCAGCACAUUUGCAAAUCUGAUAUUGAUUUUAUACAACAAUUCAAUUAAAACACAUAAAUUUUAGACACAAUAUUGUCUGUUUUCCUCUAUUUUGCCAAUGAAAAUAUUUCCAAACAGUAGAGCUAUUGUGCGUCUCAGAGCAACACAGUUUCAAUUUCGUUACUGAAUGAAUCCAUGUUUUUGAAUGAAUCGUUCUAAUGAAUGACUCAAUGACUCACUCACUUCUGCCUUGAAUGAAUCAGCCAUUUUGAAUGAAUUGGUUGACUGAAUGAUUCAAUGACUAACUCGUUAAGACAAUGAUUUGCCGCCACCUACUGGUGGUUUUAGUUUCAUUUAAUUUGAUUGCUGUUUUUCAGUCAUGUUUGUAACAAUAGUUCUGGUUAAAAAGAUAGAAUGUGUUUAUAAAUAGACUAUUAAGAGCGAAAUAUGACAUAUGUCCGACUGUUUCUUUGGGCCGCCUCUGAUUCCAGCCGUAACACAGCCCUAAUGACUCCUACAUGGUCCAGUGUUCACUUCCAGCCAGCAUUUGUGACAAUUCACUCGGAUACCCACAAUAAAUAGUGUUACUUUGUGUUUCCUCCUAUAGGAAAUCAGGUUGGACCCAAUUAAAUGCACUUCAAUGAAUGUGGGGGAAAACACUCAUACUGUUGUUUACUGUUUACUGUUGUUUCACCUGCUCCCAGCAAAGUUCAUGCGCUUUUCUCCUUAAUUUUCUUUGAUUAAAUCUUUCAAAGCAGGUUCCAUUAUUAGUCUGCCAGUGUAAUUAAUGCAGUUUUUGGAGGGAACACUUCUAGUUUUGUCCCUUCAGAAACAGGCUCAUGAAAUGUGCUGGAAUUCAGGAUAUUAUUUCCUCUCAAAGCAUCCAAUUAAACUGCCACAGCCACCAAUAAAAAGAGCAGAAAGAGGAAAAAGACAUUUGCAUCUGAAAAAGACAUUGCCCAUCUAAAAUACCUUCAACUCCCGCUGUUGAAUGCGAGGAUAAGAACUUAAUCAGCACCUUAACCUUGACCUGAUGUUGGAUCUUUCUGGUGGAUGAUGGAGAUGCGUUCUCAGGACCAAGCUUUGAUCCGUCAGCUGAUGGAUCUCAAUGACGGCAUUCAGGAACUGAAGCAGGAGUGUGCAAAAGCCAUAGAAGAAGAGGAAGAGGAGGAGGAGGAACCUUGUUGGGACUCUGGGAGUGAGGGUGGGGGGAGCAGUAUGUCCUCCUUCUCAGGAGAAAUGUGCUUUUACCCUUCCAUCUACUCCUUUAGCACAUGUAUGAGCCCCGCUCCUCUCGGCUACCUGCCCAAACGGGCCUUUAGUAGACGCAGCUCUGUGCCCUGAAACCUCCAGCUCAGAUCACAUGAUUGAUAAUUCACCAUGUUCCAAUAUGUAUCUUAGUGUUGAGUAUCACACAAGAACAAAUGAUGCAUUCGUAAUGUGAGAAAUUUCAUGAUGUCCUAUCGGACAAUAUAUGAAUGAGUAACACAGCUGCCUCAUGUUUAGAACAUACUUUAUAUUAUAUAGUGAAAAAGUUUGAAUGUUUUACACUGUAAGAAACCCGACAAAGUCUUUGGUGAUAGACUGCUGAAAUUCUACCUGAAUGCAAUGAAGUUUGUUUCAUGUAAACGGCUACAUGUACUAGUUUUUCUCAUUUUUGCCUCUUCAAAAGUGCCUGUAUGAGUGUUGCAUGAUGACAAUGACAGCAAAAACAGAUGCCGGAAUAGUAUUUUUAGUAUUUAUAAAAUGAACAUUUUUUUAAAAUCAAGAUGUGAAUAUUUAUUCACUGAUAAUCUAAUUCAUCCUGGAUAAAUAACUAAUGAGUUGCUUUGACAUUCUAGUACCACAAUAUGAUAAUAAAAACAUACAAUCCUGA